GAGAGAGAAAUAGAAAAUUGAGAAGAUAGAGCGUAAAUUAAGGAGAGAAAUAGGAAGUUGAUAAGAUAGAAAACUAUUAAUGAGUGAUUGAUAAGAUAGGUAGUUACAGUGUUCUUCAAUAAUAUGAACUUUAAUGAGUGGGAAUAUAUUGCAUGUAUAUGUAGAAAACUAUAUAUCAUUCUUCAAAUAGUCAAAAGUAGAUGUCAAAUUCAAAACUACUACGCGAGCCUUCCAAUUCAACUCAGGCUCUAAAGAACACCCAAUGGCGUGCUGCCAUGGUUGAGGAAUUCACUGCUCCUGUGCGCAACAAUACAAAAAGCUUGUACCUGCUCUGUUGUACCCAAUUAGAAUGUUGUCGGCUGCAAGUAGGCUUUCAGGAUGAAACGACAUUCUGCUGGCUCCAUUGAUAGGUGGAGGUGGAAUUGAUCCCACUUGGCUUAAUGGAAUUGAUUCCAAAGGCUAUCUAGAGUCGAGUCGCCCCCUAAAGGAUAUCGCAUAGCAAGCCUCCCGUGCAUUUGAAGGCGGAAAUCCUCUUUCUGAGGGAAUGAUUUUAGCACAGGGGUGUAGCAGUCAGACAGAAGAGCGCAUGCCCCUAAGAGAAGUCUGUUUUGAUUAUUUUUCUGUCUAUUGAAAAUGAAAGUUUUAUUUAAGAGUCAUAUAUUGCAAAAUAUUUUUUAUUUAAUUUAAAUAAUAUACAUAUCUAUA